rnacentral:rRNA from 1 species
GAUGAACGCUAGCGGCAGGCUUAACACAUGCAAGUCGAACGGCAGCACAGGUAGCAAUACUGGGUGGCGAGUGGCGCACGGGUGCGUAACGCGUAUGCAACCUACCUCUAUCUGGGAGAUAGCCCGAAGAAAUUCGGAUUAAUACCCCAUAAUAUAUGUCUUUCGCAUGUUAGACAUAUUAAAGCUUUGGCGGAUAGAGAUGGGCAUGCGUGACAUUAGCUAGUUGGUAAGGUAACGGCUUACCAAGGCUACGAUGUCUAGGGGGUCUGAGAGGAUUAUCCCCCACACUGGUACUGAGACACGGACCAGACUCCUACGGGAGGCAGCAGUGAGGAAUAUUGGACAAUGGGCGAAAGCCUGAUCCAGCCAUGCCGCGUGCAGGAAGACGGCCCUAUGGGUUGUAAACUGCUUUUANACGGGAAGAAACACCCCCUCGUGAGGGGGCUUGACGGUACCGUAAGAAUAAGGAUCGGCUAACUCCGUGCCAGCAGCCG